AGAGUUUGAUCCUGGCUCAGGACGAACGCUGGCGGCGUGCCUAAUACAUGCAAGUCGAGCGAGCCGAACUAAUUGAUUACCUUCGGGUAUGAAGUUAGGGAAGCGAGCGGCGGAUGGGUGAGUAACACGUGGGUAACCUACCCUAUAGUCUGGGAUACCACUUGGAAACAGGUGCUAAUACCGGAUAAAAGGAGAGAUCACAUGAUUUCUUUUUGAAAGGCGGCGUAAGCUGUCGCUAAAGGAUGGACCCGCGGUGCAUUAGCUAGUUGGUAAGGUAACGGCUUACCAAGGCAACGAUGCAUAGCCGAGUUGAGAGACUGAUCGGCCACAUUGGGACUGAGACACGGCCCAAACUCCUACGGGAGGCAGCAGUAGGGAAUCUUCCACAAUGGACGCAAGUCUGAUGGAGCAACGCCGCGUGAGUGAAGAAGGUUUUCGGAUCGUAAAGCUCUGUUGUUGGUGAAGAAAGAUAGUGAGAGUAACUGCUCAUUAUUUGCCGGUAAUCAACCAGAAAGUCACGGCUAACUACGUGCCAGCAGCCGCGGUAAUACGUAGGUGGCAAGCGUUGUCCGGAUUUAUUGGGCGUAAAGCGAGCGCAGGCGGAAAGAUAAGUCAGAUGUGAAAGCCCUCGGCUUAACCGAGGAAUAGCAUCGGAAACUGUCUUUCUUGAGUGCAGAAGAGGAGAGUGGAACUCCAUGUGUAGCGGUGGAAUGCGUAGAUAUAUGGAAGAACACCAGUGGCGAAGGCGGCUCUCUGGUCUGUAACUGACGCUGAGGCUCGAAAGCAUGGGUAGCGAACAGGAUUAGAUACCCUGGUAGUCCAUGCUGUAAACGAUGAGUGCUAAGUGUUGGGAGGUUUCCGCCUCUCAGUGCUGCAGCUAACGCAUUAAGCACUCCGCCUGGGGAGUACGACCGCAAGGUUAAAACUCAAAGGAAUUGACGGGGGCCCGCACAAGCGGUGGAGCAUGUGGUUUAAUU
rnacentral:rRNA from 1 species